UGUUGAAAAGUUGUGCUGGAUUUUAUUUCUAGUAUAGAAACCAUUAACAAUUAGGUUAGGUGUAGGUUUGACAGAAAAUGAAUAUAUUUAUUAACGAGUCGAUUCUAAAUUGAAAGAUUUCAGAUUUCAGAGGGUAAUAUGGAGACUGUCAAUGAAACCUUUUGAGCAAGUUGUUUUUCUUCUUUUUUUUUCUUUUCUUUUUUUCUCCCCCAAAUGGCUAUAUCUUAAUAUGGGCUCAAGUCUUGCCCAACAAUGACAGCUGUUCAUCUGAUAGUAACUUCUUUCCAAGUUUUCUCCCCACCCACCCCGGGGCCCCCGGUCUCUGUCUUGCUUUGUUGUUUUAAAAUAUGCAUGUCUCUCCGGAAUGCCAGUCACGGGUCCAAACUUUGUGUGUCCCAACCUCCCACAUGAUGAAAUGAUCCUUUUAAAGCGGGCUCAAUAUGUCUCAAUCUGCACUCCUCUUCCUUCUCUAAAGCUUCUGGGUUCGGGACAUAGCCCAGAAAUAUAUUAAUUAAAGCGCACUACUUCGGACUUUUUAGCACUGAGGAAGAAGUGGUUGGAUCAAGUCAAGCUCUGUCAACGACGGAUAAACGAAGAUUCAUGGCAGAAAAAGGAAAAAAAAGCGAUCAAUGCUGCAGCACUUCUUAGUUCAUCUUGAACUAGCAGUGAACUCCUCCAGAAUGCCGCCAGCGUCUCCACCCUAUCCCAUCGCAGUUCAGGGUCACCAGGGGGGUGUCUCUGUGCCAAUAUGCAAAUAAGCCCAUGCCCCUCCAAUGACUCUGCCGUUAAGCUCCACCCCCUCUAUAUGGUAGAGGCUUUGAAAUAAAAUCCUCUCCCCAGACAACCUUCGCAUACAGAGAGAUAUAAACCCACUCUCACACAGAUUUAAACAGGCCUUUAAAACUUCCAUCCAUUCCUCCUUUAAUAGCUAAAGCGUGUUGAACCUAAUGGAUGUUGUCAUAACUGAGAUGUGACCACUGAUUUAGAGGAGGAACCCCAAUGACCGGGCAAAGAGAGACAGAGAGAAGAGAGAAGAAGAGGAGAAGAGAGAGAGUUAUGGUAGCUACACCACAAAUCAAAGUAAUAUCUUCAAAAAAUGUGGAAAUCGAUGAGAUGUCAUCUAGCUGUAUCUUGUGUGUAAAGCAAACCCAUAAACAGCCAAUUAGCUGAUAAGCAGAUUUUUUAUCUUUUUUUAUGAUGAACUGAUUUCAUGUAUUGACAUAACAGGAUGUAAUGGACAAAGAGCUUCCCCAUUUUCAGAAUUUUAACUGUUACUUGCAUCCUGUAUUUAAAGUAUAACCUUUAAAAGUAAACUGAAGUACCCUGUGUUAAAUUACUUAUGAAACAAUUAAGUUGCAUGCUAAUUGUAAUAUGUUUAUUGGAAUUGCAUUAGCAUAAUAAAGUUUGUUUUAAAUGUAA